rnacentral:lncRNA from 1 species
GCACCAGUAGAGCUGUGCACCAGUACACUUUGGGACUGACAGAUGAACACAGCACCCAUGGGACCUGGGCAAAUACAGAAACUUUAUGGGAGAAAUUUUAGAGAAGUUCAUAGACACCAAAACUUAAACAUUUUUGUUUGGUUUGGUUUUUGAGGCAGGGUCUCUCUACAUAGUCCUGGCUGUCCUGGAACUUACUACAUAGACCAGGCUGGCCUUGAACUUACAGAGAUCUGCCUGCCUAUGCAACCCUAGAGCAAGGGUUGAAGGCAUGCACCAGCAUACUCAGCUUGGACUUGUUGUUUAAAGACAAGAGCAUCUCUUUUGUAGUCCAGGUUGGCUUCAGGUGACUUUGUUGCCACUUGAACUUACUGGCCUUGAGUGCUGGGAUUGCAGGCAAGAACCUUCACAUGUGACUUCAUCGCAGACAUCGUCUGUGGAAAUAUACGUCCAAGCAGCAAUUCCUCAUGGCUGGGCUCCAACUCUCCUCUGGGUUUUUCUUCUACAGUGUACUAGAGUGCUUUGUAAUGAGGCAGUAGUCUAACACAUUUCUUUGAUCACUUGUAGAUUUUGGGCACACAUGGCAGAUAUAUUAGAAAUAGUUCCUUGCUGUAUGUCUUGUGUGGUGUGAGUAAUUUUGGAACGGCUCUUUUUAGAUGAUUUAAAAGGAGAACUAGAUGAGUACAUCCAAAGAUACCUGCCCGCAAAGGUCAAGGUCAUAAGAAAUAUGAAGCGAGAGGGACUGAUCCGAGGAAGAAUGAUUGGAGCAGCCCACGCUACAGGAGAAGUCCUGGUCUUCCUGGACAGCCACUGCGAAGUGAAUGUGAUGUGGUUACAGCCCCUUCUGGCCAUCAUCCUUGAAGACCCACAUACAGUGGUGUGCCCUGUGAUUGACAUCAUCAGUGCUGACACACUCGCUUACAGUUCAUCCCCAGUGGUUCGGGGAGGUUUCAACUGGGGGCUGCACUUCAAGU